UGACAAACAAAAGGGGCACAUGCUGUGCACAUGCCAAAGCAGUGGGCCAUUGUAUUUUUGUAAUGACUUGUAUCUAUGUCUGUUUAAUGCUUGUAUGUAAUGUCAUUUCGUGUGGGAAAAAUAGCCUAAGUAGUUGGGGAUGUCAACUACAAUAUUAGGACAGAAUUAACAAAGCUGUGUACAAGGCAGUUUCAGUGGAAGGUGGGGCCAGUACUCCACCAAAGAGCUGAGUGCUCCAGAAAACAGGGCCAUGAUAAAUAUUUUUCAUUCCAAAGAAUGCUCUGAAAAAGAUACUCCUUUUUAAUAAAUCUACCUUUAGUGAGAAUGCUAAGGAAUAAAUCCUGAAAAGCACCUUUAUUCACACAAACAAAGCAAAAAUACUCAGAAGCGAAGUAACUUGAAUAUGGUUAAUUGCAUAAGGAGUAGAGAAAUGAAACUCAGUAUGAAAGUUGCUAAUGAAGAAGCCAUAGUUGUCAAGAUUAAAAUAUUUAUAAAAUUGUCCGAAGGGAUUCAAAGACUUACUUGACUUUGUAAAGUUCUCCUCAUCCUGCCUACACAACCCCAGUCCCCCACAGAACAUUUCUGCAAAUUUCAACAAAUAAUAUCAAGAGCAAAAUGCAUAUAUUUGCAGUCCAUAAAUAGACAUAUAUGGCAUACAAAGAAAAAAGUUAAAAAAAAAUUCCAAACAAAUAUCUUAAAUAACCAACGUCCAAAAUUAUAACACCUAUGAUACCUUAGGCUAAAAUCAUAUGUUGCAUACAAAUUUUCAGAACAGUCUAAUGGUGAACCUGCGUCCACAUACUUGCCGCCGAUAAUCCAUAUUCAUUCUGUGAUAAAAAGCUUUUUCAGGUUAGCCAUUUUACCUCGUCAUUUCUGAGUUUGCUACUCCUCUGCUACAAUUGUUGGCUCUUCUAAGUCCUUUUUACACUUGAAUUCUCUUGCAUUUUCAACCCCCUUUGUAGAUACUGUCAAUAACUAAAAGAAUUUAUAAGUAGCAAGACCCAAUCUUCCAACAACAAGCUUAAUACUACAAAUUUAUUUACAGAAGUUUUGAUUUAAGUAAUUAAUUAGUUCCAAAAGUCAAAAAGACAUCAACGCGCAAUCGAUCCAAUAUAAUACACAAUUACAUGCACCAGCUAUCUAAUUUCAAAGAUGCAUGUGAAGAUCAGACAAAAUUACUGGCAUGCAUCUAAAAUAUCUAGCAAAGAAAUUAUGAGGAAGAGUAGGAAAUUAAAAUUGAAGUUAAAAUGCACAAACUUUCAAAGGAGUCCAAAAGGGAUGGGUAAAAGUCAGUGCAAGAAAGGAAGAAAAAGGGAAAAAUUUACAACAACUAAAAAUGAAAUUUAUAUAUCAUAAAUGGGCUGGAAUAUACAGGAGAUGAUACCAAGUUAAAAGCAACGGAGAAAAUACCGGAGAGAGGUGGGAGAAAAAGAUCAUUUGGAACUGGG
rnacentral:lncRNA from 1 species